AUGCUAACACAAUAACCCUCCUUAUUACAACCAAGUCGACGGGCAAGAAUUCUUCCAUCUCUUUCAGAACGACGACAAGACAUCACACGCAUGACGAAUCCUACUUGCCUAGCAUAUUCAUCAUAAAAUAUCUUGGCAGCGUCUUCAGAUUCAAAUUCCAUACCUUCUUGUGGUUCUACAAUUGAAUCACCUCCCAGCACAAUAGAAUCAUUUUCUG
rnacentral:misc_RNA from 1 species